GAUAAAGAUGACUGACCAACCAAUUAUAUUUUUUUGAGUCAAGGUAAUUCAUUUAUCUAUCAUUGGCAUGAGGCACAGGCAUUGAGAGUUGCUUCUAUGGAUGCACUUGAGGACAGAAAUCUGGUUGCCACUUUGGAUGUGAAUCGGGCUUCUGUGGAUGCAUAGAAUGCGUCCAUUUUCAGUCCAUUUCGAACCAGCUGGUUUGGGGGCAGCCAUGGAAGAUCUGCAUUCAUUGUUAGACAUGCGUGGGGGGCCGUCGAUUUUCGUUUGGGAGGUGCGCUGCAAAUCCAGCCGCACUUUUAGUCUUCGUCUCACAGAUUUGUGGUCGGGAGAUUUCUCAUCGUUUCUACAGCCUUCGACUCAGACGUCUUCAAUCUUUCUUGCUUGCGAGUUUUUGCAUCCUUUGUCUUCAGGUUCUUGGGUAAUCCCUAAUGCUAUAUAAGAGGAGCUGAGGUAUUUAUAUUUCACAACAUAUUGGGUUCUAUCAGGAAGGGGAUUGAAUCUCACAGAUUAGCUCAGGUGUUCUUUUGCUGCUUUGGAUAGAGCUGUUUGGUGAUUGUUUUUGGUUCUGUUAAGCAAGAGGUGCUCUUUUGUUGCUUUGGAUUGAGCAGUUUGGUUGGUGUUUUCGGUUAUGUUAAGCAGGAGAUAGCUGUUGUGAUCCUGCUUUUGUGUGGCUGUUUUUCAAAGUGCUUGAUAGCUUCUUUGACUACAGAGUUAAAACCUCUUGAAUGGAGAAGAAGGAACAUCAGCCAGCUACGCAACAAAUGCAGCAACAGCUAGAUGUCCUUGCAAGAAACAUCAAAAAAGAAAAAUCCAUGUCCACCACCCAUUAAAAUAUAGAUAGACGCCUGCACAAGUUUUUUUAAACAAUAUGCAGCUCAAGGCUGCUCAUAUUUUGAUGUUUUAAUAGCUGCUUGAUAUAUUAAAAUAUGCAUAAUAUUUUUACAACUUAAACUUGCCAAACUAAGCAUGAUGGCACUGUUUAGAUCUCAAUUUAUAUAUAAAUAGGGCCAGUACUUUAAAAUAAUAAGCAGCACAUAUAUCAUCUUAUUAAUUUAUUUUUUUGUAACUUAAACGUACUAAACUAAGCAUGAUGCUACUAUUUAGAUCUCAAUAUACAUAUAAACAAAGCCAUAUGUUUCCUACAUAUUUUUACGACUUUAUACAUAUUUGGCGCAAUUUCAAAACCCGCAGCAUCGUGCGGCGCCUUUGCUAGUUAAAAUGAAAUGUCCAAAUUUGUUGGUUCACCUUUUGGUGGAAUAAUGAACCAUCAUGUUCCCAGUCAAGACAUGUCAAACAGGAAUUUGACGUGGUCACUAAAACUAGAUUAUCCUCUUUGUUCUUUGAACACAUGAAGCACUCCAUAUAUUCAGCAAGAACAUACAGGGUGCUUCAUGCCUCCAAGAAUGAAGAUGAUAAUCUAGCUUGUACUCAAUCAAGUAAUCCAACUAGAUCUUAAAAAAGUCUGUUGAUGAAAUAGUUGAACUGAAGAUAUUUAUCAAGGAAAACAAAUUGAAGUUUUUGUUUGGAGUCGAUGUGGGACUGCUGCAACCACCCACGACCCGGUCUCUUCUCUGUCCUAAUGAGUCCCGGUUCUUUGGUAAUUUCAUUGGAGACCUGUUCACCCUUUGAUGGAACUCUUCAUCGUCGUCUUUGGUCAUGGUGGUAGUGGACAUGCUCUGACUCAGGCUGCAAAUCUCCGAUUCCUGUUAGAUGUCUUCAUUGUUAUUGUAAAUAGGUAUUUUCUCCUCCAUCUUUUCUGGGUCUUCUUGUUUGAUUUUCUUCUCAAAGACUAGUGCUUUUAAGGACCUAAAGCUGAGGACUUUUCAGGGGUAGUGGUGCUCAUACAGCAAUCCAUUUGGUUGUUUUCAAAAGUUUCAAACUUUCAAUCAAGAUUUGCUAAUCAGAAGCUACUAGCUAGUAGCAGCUAGUGGACUGUGAGUGAGUAGAGUGUUGUUGCUGCUGCAGUAGGCUUUAAUCAAAUUGGAAAAAGCAUUGUGGGGUUUGGGCUCAAAGAUUGGUCGUUAUUGCCGGAAUUGAGGUCACUGACACAGACCAUGCUCUACGAUGGACCAUGGUGGUUGGUUGGAUUAAUUUGGUCGGGACAAGUCAGGGGUUCUUGUUGAAAAUACUGACAGGUUGGGAGCUUUGGGGGUCAAUGAAAUGUAUUUAUUAUAUUGCAUUGCAUGUAGGACAAAAAGUAAAAGGAAAUACUUGGCAAAGGAAAUAUAUUUUCCAAAAAACAAGAAGGAAAUCUAGUUUAUUGAGUUUAGUCUAAAUUUUGGUAUAUUAUGUUAAGGUUCUUGUUGGGUGAGGAGAGGAGAGAUAAAAAUAUAAAAAAUAUAAAAAGUUGGAAGUCUUUUGAUAUUUUCAAUGCGUAUAUUUUUAAAAAUUAAUAAUCUAUUUUAAAUGUAAUCUUAACCAUUGAAAACCUCUUUUAAGGUUCUUGUUGGGUGAGGACAUCAAAGACGAAUAACAUUAACAGAAGGGCUUAGAUUGAUAACACCUCUGCUCUGAAACCCCUUAUUUGUUUACUUGUUUGUUUAUUAUCUAUCAUUGGCAUGAGGCACAGGCAUUGAGAGUUGCUCCUAUGGAUGCACACGAGGACAGAAGUCUGGUUGCCACUUUGGAUGUGAAUCGGGCUUCUGUAUUGCAUGUAAGUCUCAUCCUUGAUUUAUGUGGGUAUGUACCAAACGUAACAAGUUCAGUUCUUUAUCAACAGAUUUCAUUGCUAACUGUUAGUGUAUCGUUUUAUUUAUAUAAUAUACACUAUCUUAUUUCUCAGUUAGGGUCAAAGUUUAGAAAUUUCCGAAAGUUUUCGGAAUCUAUUGUGAUCACAGGAAUCUAUUGGGUAAUGUUGGGACCAGUUGCUGCAGCUUGGAUAAGAAAGUUCAAGGAGUAUUAUUAUUAUUUUGAAAAUCGGAAUCGGAAUGGUGAAUUACAAUUCCUGAGGGAGAUGAAGGUUCGUCUAGAGAGGGAGAGGGAGAUGGCAAUUGCAAUAGAAAUACAAUCGGCCAUAGAGGAACUGAUUAGAGCUAUGAGCACAGAUGGAGAAGCAGAAGGAGAAUCCAGCUGAUUUCUCCGUCUCCUUCUUCAUCUCUGCUCAAAACAUAUCAAUUUUAAAGACCUCAGCUGAAAAA